rnacentral:rRNA from 1 species
UACGUAGGGUGCGAGCGUUUAAUCGGAAUUACUGGGCGUAAAGCGUGCGCAGGCGGUGAUGUAAGGACAGAUGUGAAAUCCCCGGGCUCAACCUGGGAACUGCAUUUGUGACUGCAUCGCUGGAGUGCGGCAGAGGGGGAUGGAAUUCCGCGUGUAGCAGUGAAAUGCGUAGAUAUGCGGAGGAACACCGAUGGCGAAGGCAAUCCCCUGG